ACCCCUCUGGUGUAUCGGUAACAUAGCGGAUUCUCAUUCAGGGCUAUCAUUGCCUCAGAACAACAGACUCCGUUGCGCGGGGUUCGACUCCCCGGGGGGGUG